UAAAUAAGAAGCAAAAUUACUGCAUUUAAUUUCGACUUAAAAGAAAGAGUAUAAAAAUAACUCCUUAUUUAU
rnacentral:tRNA from 1 species